GCACCGGCUGGCUCCGAGGACCCCCGAUGGCACCCGUCCAAAACCGGUGUCCCCCUCGUGUCCCCCUCGUGUCCCCCACGCUGUGACCACCCCGUCCUUCCCAGCACAAUAAAGCUUUGUCACCACAGGAGUGGCACCUGCCUGUCCCCUGCGGGGGUGGGAUGGGGACACGGGGACCCCAACGGGGACUUCAGUGGGGACAGGGGGACCCCGAUGGGGACAUGGCUAUGGGGGGGUUUGGGGGGACACCUCCAGGGCCCUGUCCCUUGCUGGGAGCGGGGCUGGGGACAGGGACAACGUGUCCCUGCGGCGCUGGCACUGUCCCAGCGGCCACCUCCCGUCCCCACGGGGCUAUAAGAGCCCGCGGGGCACGGCCCCGUCACCGCCACCAUGGCGCUGCCACCGUCCCCGUCCCCGUCCCCGUCCCUGGCACGGACGCUGCUCCUCGCCCUGCUCUGUGCCACCACAGGGCUGGGGGGGCCGGCGGAGCGCUGCGGGGUCCCCCCCGACGCCUGGUGCCAGAACUGGGGGACGGCGCUGCGCUGCGGGGCCCUGGAGCUCUGCGCCCGCCGCGGCUGGGCCCCCAGUGCCAAGGUGAGCGCCGAGACACGGCCCCACAGCCCAACGGCCCCACAGCCCAACGGCCCCACAGCCCCACUGCCCCACAGCCCCNNNNNNNNNNCCUGUGCCCCCCGUGUCCCCGCGCCCCACGCCCCAUACCCUAUGUCCCAUGGCCCGCGCCGUGUCCCUCUGUCCCCACAUUCCCACGCCCCGUGCCCCUUGUCCCCGUGCCCCAUAUCCACGUUCCCACGCCACAUGUUUGUGUGUCCCCUACUCCCCCUCCCCAUAUAAUGAUACCCCAUGUCCCCACACCCCAUUGCCAUGUCCCCAAGCCCAUUUCUCCAUGUCCCCAAGGUCACUUCCCCAUGUCCCCAUGCUCCACGCCUUAUGUCCACAUGUCCCCAAGUCCAUUUUCCCAUGACCCUACACUCCGUACUAUAUGUCCCCAUAUCCCCAAGUCCUUUUUCCCGUGUCCCCACGUAAUAUGCCCCCAACUCUGCUUCCCCAUGCCCCCAUCCUCCACGUCCUAUGUCCCCAUGUCCCCAAGUCCAUUCCCAUGUCCUGUACCCCAUGCUAUAUGUCCCCAACCAUGUCCCCAACUCCGUUUCCCCGUGCCCCCAUACUCCACACCACAUGUCCCCAUGUCCCCAAACCCCUUUCCCCGUGCCCUGUACCCCCUGUCCCCGUGCCCCCCGUCCCCACACGUCCCGGUGCGGGUGCCCCCCCCUCGCAGGAGGACAUGUGCGCCGACUGCCAGGAGGUCGUCACCCUGCUCAUCCGCAUGGCCAACGAGUCGGCCACCAAGGUGCUGA
rnacentral:lncRNA from 1 species